rnacentral:rRNA from 1 species
ACUCCUACGGGAGGCAGCAGUGGGGAAUCUUGCGCAAUGGGCGAAAGCCUGACGCAGCAACGCCGCGUGGGGGAUGAAGGCUCUCGGGUCGUAAACCCCUUUCAGCAGGGACGAAUCUGACGGUACCUGCAGAAGAAGCUCCGGCCAACUACGUGCCAGCAGCCGCGGUAACACGUAGGGAGCAAGCGUUGUCCGGAUUUAUUGGGCGUAAAGAGCUCGUAGGCGGCUCAGCAAGUCGGGUGUGAAAACUCCGGGCUCAACCCGGA